ensembl:snRNA U6 U6 spliceosomal RNA
GUGCUCACUUUGGCAGCACACAUGGUAAAAUUGGAACGAUACAGAGAAGUUACCAUGGCCCCUACACAAGGAUGACAUGCAAAUUCGUGAAGUGUUCCAUAUUUUU